CAUAGGUUUGGUCCUAGCCUUUCUAUUAGUUGUUAGUAAACUUACACAUGCAAGUAUCCACGCCCCAGUGAGAAUGCCCUCUAAAUCAAAAUUAUGAUAAAAAGGAGCAGGCAUCAAGCACACUAACAAGUAGCUCAUAACGCCUUGCUUAACCACACCCCCACGGGAAACAGCAGUGAUAAGAAUUAAGCCAUAAACGAAAGUUUGACUAAGUUAUACUAAUAUUAUAGGGUUGGUAAAUUUCGUGCCAGCCACCGCGGUCAUACGAUUAACCCAAACUAAUAGAUUCUCGGCGUAAAGCGUGUUUAAGAAAAUAAACAAAAUAAAGAUAAAUACUAGCUAAGCUGUAAAAAGCCCCAGCUAUCAUAAAAUAAACAACGAAAGUGACUUUAAAAUAUCUGAAUACACGACAGCUAAGACCCAAACUGGGAUUAGAUACCCCACUAUGCUUAGCCGUAAACCCAAAAAAUUUAACAAACAAAAUUAUUCGCCAGAGUACUACUAGCAAAAGCUUAAAACUCAAAGGACUUGGCGGUGCUUUAUAUCCAUCUAGAGGAGCCUGUUCUAUAAUCGAUAAACCCCGAUAAACCUCACCAACCCUUGCUUAAUUCAGCCUAUAUACCGCCAUCUUCAGCAAACCCUAAAAAGGAAUUAUAGUAAGCACAAACAUUGCACAUAAAAACGUUAGGUCAAGGUGUAGCUAAUGAGUUGGGAAGAAAUGGGCUACAUUUCCUACCAUAGGAUAAUUUACGAAUAUCUCUGUGAAAUCAGAGAUUAAAGGUGGAUUUAGUAGUAAGUUAAGAAUAGAGAGCUUAACUGAAUAAGGCCAUGAAGCACGCACACACCGCCCGUCACCCUCCUCAAAUACUGCUAAUAAUAUCAAUAACAUAACACAUAAAAUAAAGCUUAUGAGAGGAGAUAAGUCGUAACAAGGUAAGCGUACUGGAAAGUGCGCUUGGAUAACU
rnacentral:ncRNA from 1 species